GACGGAGGAUGCAAGCGUUAUCCGGAAUGAUUGGGCGUAAAGCGUCCGCAGGCGGCAGUUCAAGUCUGCUGUCAAAGACCGGGGCUUAACUUCGGAAAGGCAGUGGAAACUGAACAGCUAGAGUAUGGUAGGGGCAGAGGGAAUUCCUGGUGUAGCGGUGAAAUGCGUAGAGAUCAGGAAGAACAUCGGUGGCGAAGGCGAUCUGCUGGACCAUAACUGACACUCAGGGACGAAAGCUAGGGGAGCGAAUGGG
rnacentral:rRNA from 1 species